GUACGCUCCUGUUACUAGAGCAGAGAUACAAAAUACAGCCGUAAAAACUGCUGCACUGUAAAUGAAAACAAAAAUAAUUGAUGAUGAUUGUAGAUAAUAUAAUUAGUUGGGCAGUUUUCAUGGCAUGUGUGUGCUGCUUUGGGUUCGUGAUCGGAUUGGCAGCGCUUGUCGGCUGGUUUUUUGGUUUCAUAUUUAGCUAAAACGCAGAUUAUGACCAACUACACAGAAACCAGGAGUAUGGCAAUGAUUGGAUUUAGUAUCAGGAGCUAUAGCUAAGUCAGUAUAGCCAUUAUAGCUAACUUAGUACUCAUACUCAUCUGUGAAAAUAUAAUUUUUAUUUUUAUGUGUUGCGAAGGAAUUUUCCUGGUAUUCAGCAUAGUGGCGUGUUUCGUCGUAGGGAUAAUAUUCAUAACUACAUGGCUUUACGGUUGGUUAUUCCGUUGAUGUUAUAAUUAAGAGCUAGCUCUUAUUUGUACAAUUUUAACCCUUGUCUACUUUUUAUUAUGUUCUAAAAUAUUAACUUAUAAAAAUUGUGAUACUAUGAAGUAACCUUAGGAAUUAAAAUAACUUUAAAAGAUAAAUAUUGUAUUUGAUUCGUGUAGUAUA